UAUUAUUUCAUAGGUCAAACGAUUUAAUUCCCGUAUUUAACCACACACCUUAUGAUUCUCCACCGUUAAGUUGUGGUGAAUCUUUUGAGACAAUUACAAAUUUUAUGGUGGAACGCAACAAUUGGUCAGAAAAAAAUGUAAGUGAAUUCAAUAUUUCAAUUUAAUUUGCUAUAAAAUACAUGUUAAUCAACAUACCUUUUGUCGUAGAUAUAGAUUCCUCUCUGUAUCCUACCUUCCAAACUUCCCAUCUACAACAAUGUCUGCAUCUACGUGCGAAGUAUGUCCGUCCUUUUGAUUAUUAUUGAUACUA